CUUGCAACCAAUAAGAGGUCCAGCCUGCCCAGUGACUCUGUUCAACGGCCGCGGUAUCCUAACCGUGCAAAGGUAGCGCAAUCACUUGUCCUUUAAAUAAGGACUAGUAUGAACGGCACCACGAAAGCUAUACUGUCUCCUUCCCCUAAUCAGUGAAACUAAUCUCCCCGUGAAGAAGCGGGGAUAAUUUUAUAAGACGAGAAGACCCUAUGGAGCUUUAAACACACAACAAUUGUAACGGACCCCCUCCUUCUUCCCCGGAAGAAACUGCCUACCCGAACAUUUUGAUUGCAAGUUUUAGGUUGGGGUGACCGCGGAGCAAAAAUUAACCUCCAUAGUGAACGGGAUUCUUUCCCCCCUAAACCCAGGGCCACAACCCUAAGGAUCAAUAAAUUGACACCCAUUGACCCAAUACUUUUGACCAACGAAC
rnacentral:rRNA from 1 species